rnacentral:lncRNA from 1 species
CUGGGGUUGCAUGUUGGCUUGGUAUAGUUGUGACAAAGGCUUUUAAAUGGGGAGAUUCAGGAUUUGGUGUCACAAGGAAUGAAUCUGUUCGGCUAUAAAGUCCAUUAUGUGCUGUUAUGGCAGUCCAUUUGUAACUGUAAAUAUUUACUAAUAGAGCGUAAUGAUAGUCUCCAUCUUCUCCACUUUCUUGAGCCAGCUGGCUGUGAUGCAAAUUGAGACUCAGCGAUUUCUCAUCUUACCUCCGAGCAAAGACAGCACAUGCUUCUGUUCAUAGGUUGGGAGCACUUUUCUCAUAUGAAUGCUUCUCUGCUUAUUAAAGGUCCUUUGGCAUAUGCAUUCUCUAGCUAGCAUUAUCCGCAGUUAAAAGCUUUUUCUUUUUCUUUUUCUUUUUCCUUUUUCUUUUUCUUUUUCUUUUUCUUUUUUCAGGAAAAGGUAAAUCUUUGUGAGUUCCUAUACAGAGAAUAGCAAAAUCUGGAAAAAUACAGAAGAUGUGGCAAAUAAAAUUAGGUUUCUCUGGGAAACAAAUAUGGGCUUAAUUAGGGAUUGCAAAUUGGGAUACACACAUGAAUUCAGUAUAAAUCUCUGAUCCUGCUGACUUGAAAAAAGCCCUUUCAAAUAUUUCGGCUUUAACUAUACAUAAACAGUAAGCUGCAAUAAUAUUUCUGGAGUAUCAAGAAGUCUAGAAAACAACUAACAUCCAUAUUCUUCCCCUAAAUAGCUAAAGACUUGGUAUCUCUGCCUUGAAGGUAGAGAUUAGGUUGCUCAACUGCAGCUCUGUGGAAGUUAAUCCUUUUAGUGGCAUUACCCAUAAAACCUCAGACAAUAAAGUAGUGUUUUAGCAAUAUUAGAUUACCACUUUACAGGGCUGUGUGCAAACCCUUCAACAAUACUGGCAGAUUCUUCUUCUUGAGAAAGGUCUCUGCUGGAAAACCAUUGAGAGGCAGCUGGUUCUCAUUGAUAUUUAUAAUAAUUUACUAUAUAGCAUUCUGUGAGUUCUUGUCUGUAUUCACAGUUUUGGAAAGUGAGAAAAAGAGAAAGCCUACAAGACUAUAUACUUUUUUAAAACGGAAAAUGAGAAUGAUUCAUCUCCACUUGGAAAAGCUCUUACAUAUUUGUUUAGUAGUAUUGUGAAAAAAUUUCCUUUUCAAUUGUUUUUAAACAACAUGAAACAAGGAAAUUAUGGUUUUGUUAACCUUUUGCUGAGGAUGAACAAUAUCUUUGU